UACGAAGGGUGCAAACGUUGCUCGGAAUCAUUGGGCGUAAAGCGCACGUAGGCGGCUUCGCAAGUCGGAUGUGAAAUCCCUCGGCUCAACCGAGGACGUGCAUACGAAACUGCGAAGCUUGAGUACUGAAGAGGAUCGCGGAAUUCCCGGUGUAGAGGUGAAAUUCGUAGAUAUCGGGAGGAACACCAGUGGCGAAGGCGGCGAUCUGGGCAGAUACUGAAGCUGAGGUGCGAAAGCGUGGGGAGCAAACAGG
rnacentral:rRNA from 1 species